rnacentral:lncRNA from 1 species
CAUAGUUGCUGCCUUGGAGGGUCUCGAGGAGGUGGGAUUCCACAGGAACAGCCACAAGUGCCACCUCUGCUGGAAGCCUUGCCAGGCAGACCUCGUGCAGCCAGCAGCCCAGCUUCCUGUGAGCGGCGGCUCCACACAGGCCACUGGCCCCUGGUGUCUGAGUUGCCCACUCUGGCCCUUGGCCUGCGUUUCCGUCAGGAUUCCUGUCUCCUUUAUUUGAUGUGUGGGAGUUCUAAAUGAGGCCCAAGAAUAAUCUGGUGUUUAACCAAGAUCACAGUGUAGCACUUCUACUGGUAAAAUUCUGAACCACACUUCUUUCCAGUUUUCCUGGGACUGGCUGCUUAUGUGAACUGUGCUGCAGAUUGUCUGUCUCCCGGUGGAUGCUUGGUGGUGACUGCAGGGCCUUGGCUCAGGGAGGCCAGGGUGCAGGAGGGCACCAGGGCUCCCUGCUGCGCACCCCACCCGGCCCCAACCCCAGCCCCUGCCACACAGUCCUCAGCGCCAUUCCACUGCAGGCACGUCUCGACUUACCACUCUAAACUACACAGGUGAACACUUGGUUUGCAUGCUAGUUUUAUAAACUUUUAAUUUCAAUGCAAAGUCAAAGGAAGGUGACCAAACUUUCCACAGGCAAAUUUGAAUUUUUCCAAAAUUUUAUGCAGGUGUUGGUGAAAUUUACUGCUGCCAACUAGGCCCUGGGGU